AAGAGAUAAAAUAGUAAUAGAUAGUUAAAUCUUUCUGUAACUGUUAGAGACAAGGGAAUAUUAAUGGUAUUGAACCUCUUUGAUAGUCCUUAUUAUGGUCUUUAUACAGCUCUCUGGGUUUGCGUAUGUAUAAAGUGGUGUCAAGUAUUUGUGGCUUUGACAAAUCUUUGUUUUCCUUCAGAAUCUGUCCGGUCACAAACGCUCCGUUCGCUCCCUCUCCUUCGCUCCCUCCUCCUCCUCCAUGCUCUGCUCCGGCUCUGUGUCUGGAGAGGUCAGGGUGUGGUCGGUGCCCACCUCCACCUGUGUGGGAUGUUUCCAGGCUCACAGUGGAGCCACAGAGACUCUCUUUUUUCUGGGAGAGGGGAACAUGCUGCUGACUGCUGGCUCUGAUGAUCACAUGGUGAGGAAACAGAAUAAAGUCAGAAUCAGAGAAAUUUAACUGUCUUCUUGUAUCAGAUUUUAAAAACUGUGUUUUUCUAUCAUGCUGGAGUAGAAUAAACCCUUUAAACUUUAGAGUAUCCCUGUAGAUUUAAAGGGAUAUUCUGGCAUAAACUUAAGUUAGGGUCAAACACACUGUAACGCCGAGUUAGACACCCCCUCGAGAGAUGAAUGUUGCCGAUCACUUGCUUCCCUAGAUAUACCAAUUUCAGUAACAACCGCACAAUAGCAAUACACAGCGGUCCAAGGAGCCACAUGCUCAACCAAAAAGCCACUCUAUAGCCACAAAUAAUGCUCAGAACAGCACCUAACUUCAUCAACAGUACAUAUAGGGUCCCUGCCAUAGUACUAGCCACCAAACAUCUUUUUAACUUUUCCUGAUUUCUUUAGCAAAGAGACUAAACACAACUCACCUACUCUCUUCCAGCAGCCGCUUGUUUGUAUGGAAACCUCAGACGAGUCCAUUACAGACUGCAGCGGGGUGACACAGCUCAAGGAAGAACAUUUAUGGUCAUUUCUUCAUUUCUUGGAAAUGCAAUCAGACCGAGACGCUAAGGCAGAAGAACUACCGCGUCUGCAGCGCAAAAUGAUUAAUAUGAUGAUUAUUACUUCGAGGAAAUGAUAAAGAAAUGAUCAUAAAUGUCCUUCCUUGAGCUGCGUCACCCCGCAGCAGUCCAUGAUGGACUGGUCGAGGUCUCGCUACAAACAAGCGACUGCUGGAAGAGAGUAGGUGAGUUGUGUUUAGUCUCUUUGCUAAAGAAAUCAGGCAAAGUUAAAAAGAUGUUUAGUGGCUAGUGCUGUGGCUGAGACCCGUGGCUCUGUGUAUCGCUAUCCUGCGAACGUUUUGCGAUUUUGGCACAAACAUCCUCCUUUUUCCUUUUUCUGUUUCGUUUUGUCUUCCAGCUCCAUCUCUGGUCGGGAGGACUUGGACGUUCAGUCACUAAAUUAAAGACAGAUGUGGUAAGCUUUUUGUUUUUUUAUCUACUGAAGCUCUUGAAUAGUUGGAGCUUUAAAAAGCAGCCGUUUGGUUAAAACACUUCACAUCAUUCUGUAUUUAUUUCGUGUUUUAGUGCGAGCAGGAGCCUCCCCGUAAGAAACAUAAAUCUGUCACCUCUGUGUCAGCUGCUCUGUGUGUGGCUGUUAAUGGAGACUAUGCUGCUGUGGGAUAUCAUGGAGAUGGGAUCAGAAUCUUCAGCCUAGAGUCAGGUAGGCUUCAUCUCACAAGAGUAUAAAAACAAAUCAAAUUUAGUGUAAACCUGUCGCACAAAAUGUAAAAAAUGUUCACACACAAUUGAUCUGAAUUAAAAAGACCCUCACUGUUUAUACUCAAAUUGUAGGUGAGAAGAUUUGGGACUCAGGAGGCCUCGAUGUGUCUGUACCAUGUCUGCGGUGGGUCUACCUGAAUCCAGAGCAGUCUGAACCAGAGCUGCUAGUGUCUGCAGGCAGUGACAAACGUCUGAGGGUCUGGAAGAAGAAAAGCAAAGAAGAGGGGCUUCUUGGAGGUCUGGACCAGUGGGGGAUGUUUUCUUCACACUUUCAGCCCGUAUUGGCAAUGGAACAAAACUCCAAAUACCUGGUUACAGCUUCAGGUGAGUGUUUGAAAGAAAUGUAGAUAAAGUCACGAGAACAUGUUAAAGUUUUCGGGCAGCUGUUGUAGAGAUGUUUUUUUCUUGACCAGGAGGUUUUUUUGGCGGUUUGAUCUUCCACUCAUGUAUGAAGUAAAAAUGUAAAGUGUUGUCUACCCUUCAACCUUUCCUUUAUUCCCUCUGAUGAAGAUGACUGCAAUGUUUUUUUGUGGCUGCUGAGCAAUCUGGCUGAAGACCCCUUCAUGGAGCCUUGUGGGCUGCUGAAAGGUCACACUGGAGGAGUCACCUGUCUGUCUUUCAGCCCUGAUGGUGAACAGCUGCUGUCCGGUGGAAAAGAUAAGGUGAAGUGUGUUAAUGCUAAUCUGUCUCAGCCAAUAACAUUGAUGACUUAACUGACUUCACUAUUAGGUUUUUAAUUUUACUUUGAUGCUAUGUUUCAGGCUCUGAUGGUUUGGGAUGUGAGUGUUACUCCUCCUGUUCUCUCCAAGUCGCUCCCUCACUCUCAUAGAGACUGGAUCACCGGCUGUGUUUGGACUCCAGACUGUGUGGUACAUCUCUAACACCAUUAUACUGCAGUAUUAACAGUUCUGAUGUAUUUCCUUUAAACUUGUCUUAAUCAGACUCUCUUCUCUGUUCCAGAUCAGCUCGUCAAACGAUGGGAGGCUCUGUUUUUGGGAUCUGCAGGCGGGCAAACGUCUCAAAGAAAUCUCCUGGACCAGCUCUCUGACAUCUGUCUGCUGUCUGGUGAGAAAAUAUGAAACUUGUGUUCAUGAGAGAAUUGAGAGCGUAUCUUCACAGAAUUCUUAAAAGUGCAGUAAAUGAGAUCUCGGUUUAUGUUCACUGAUUGUAGGGACAAUUUGUGGUGGCGGGCUGUGCAGAAGGAGGACUUCAUGUCUGGAACUGGGAAACAAACUCAGAAAUCAGCCACAUCGCUGCUCACAAACGGCGUAUUCAUGCCUGCUCUGUCCUACCAAACACAGGUAAAGAGCUCUGCGUAUGUCUGUCUGACAAAAAGCGUAUCAUAUUCACAUCAUUGUUUAAUUUACAUUCUAAGUUCCUGUGUUUUUUAAAUAUUUUUCAAGACAAAGAAGUAAACCCAGAGGAAAUGUCUGUCCUCACUGCGUCUGAUGAUGGAACCGUGCAGCUCUGGAAACCUCUGCAGGUCUGUGAGUUAAAAGUGAAACGGAGAGAUAUUCAGAAAAUUUAUCUGAAUAAAGUUGAACUUAAGUAAAUUUAAGUACUUUGAAGUGUGCAUGUUGUUAGGAAUAAAACAGAAAUUUUUUACAGUUUUAAGACCAAACAAAUAGAUUAAAUCAAAGAUUAAAUAUGCCUGAAUUUCACUGUCAACUUUAGUCUACUUUCUCACCUUUAGUUCAAGUUUGUAUUUAGUUUUAAAGUUUUAUUAUUUAUUUAUUUAGUUUUAUUUUUUCCCUCUUUUUGUCUCCUUUUUCUGAUUCUGUAUCUUAAAACACAGAUGGAGCACUUCAACUCCUUUGCGGGUCCCAGCGGCUCCAUACAUGGGAUUGUUCACAAAGACGGACACCCGGAUUUCGCCAUUGCGUCUGAAGGCUGCUCACUGCUAUGCUGGACACUGACAAAAGGUUCAACUUUAUACCCCACCUUCACAUGUGGAAAAAGUUUUAAAUUUUACAUUUAUUAAAGGAGUGCUCAAAGUAAUCAUUUACACUGUGUAUAAUUUGGUUGAUUUGAUUAAAAUGUGUCUUUUUUUGUUCCUUUUCCCAGCUCAUUUAUGUGUUGUGUUUUUUCAGAGGGUUCUACCAGCCUGAGGGGUCCGGUCACAGCUCUGUGCUUCUCUCAGACAGGCGAUCUGCUGCUUGUUGGUUAUGAAUCUGGUUAUUUGGAAAUUUGGCAGAAUAACGUUGUGGUCGGACACAAACAGGUGAGGACACGUCUUUAAAAGGGGGGUGAAUAUUGGACUCAAAGAUGUUUCUUUUUCAUGGUGUUUGUGCCUGUUUGGAUUUCUGCGUGUUUGUCAGGCUUCAGCCAGCGCCGUCACAGCGAUCUGCUCCAUGCCUGAUAACCAGUUUGCUGUCAGCUACUUGGAAGUUGUUGUUGAUGAGUGGAAGCUGGUGUGGAAUGAACAACACAGCAAAGCAAAGUAAAACAACAACAACCACAAUAUUUAACCUUCAUCUUAUUUUUUUAAAUGUGAAAUAAUGUGUUUUUCUGUCUUGUGUCUCCGUCUCUUCCAGCCUGGUGAAGGUAAAAACGUACAAAAUAAACAGCCAGGUGAUUCACCUCAUGUACUGCACGGUCCUGCUGGCUGUAUCUCACGACGGGGAGAUAUUUGACGUCGCAAAUACAGAGGGUUUCGCGAGGUGGAACCACAGCGUAAAUAGGUAUCACGAAAUUAAGCGCAAGGUGUCCAAAAGGGUUUGAAGGUCAGAUCUGAAAUAUCAGCUUGAGUGGAGUUAAUCAUCCGGGUUUUGAUCUGAAUAAAAGCCAGCUUCACUAGUUAGAGUUAUCUAUUUUUAAACAAUCAAGUCAGAUGAAAACAUCUAAGUACUGGUUUAGCGACCUCAGAGACCAGGAUGUCGCUUAGAGGAUGAGAUACGGGCCGAGUCUAAUUGUCUGACGCGCUUUGUCAAUGGAUCAGCUGAGACGGGAAUCGAUUAGGAAAAAACGUGCUUUAAUACUAAAGAAACAAUCAACAAAACGAUACCAACUGAAGAAACAGCGAUCACUGGACUUAAAGAGUAUGUGUACAUGCGGUCAACAAAAAAUACGGCGACCCACUCAAAACCUCUUCCCUCGUGAACACAGGUGACCAGGUGCUUAAAUCAACUGAGUGACACCGCCCCUAUUCCCGUGACCCGGAUUCCACAAAUCACUGCCACCAAUCACAACAAAAUACCAAAACAAACCAAGAGCAUAACCACAAACCUUUACCUUGCGGCUCCUACAACUGGUAUUAAAAUGUUACAUUUUCAUAAACUCACUUUGUAAAUACUGUACCUUCUUUUUCAGUUUUAAAUUUAACCAAUAGUGAAAGAGGGGUGCAGGCUGUGAAAGAUUAACUUAUGCAGAGUUCUCAAACUUUUUUUGUGCAGCUGGUCGCAUAGAGUCCGAGUAAAGCACGUGAUCCAAAAUGAUGAAAAGAGCAUGUGGCUGGUGGGCGAAGACAAUGGAAAAGUUGAGAUUGGCUUCAUUGUGAGUUCUAAUCUAAAUUUAAACCUAAAGUUUUUUUUUCCUCCCUUUUUUUUUCAUUCAUUGAUUUUGACUUGUGCCUCUGUUCGGUCUUUCCUCAGUUUACAAUGGGCCCUGAACAAAGUUUGGAUACAAAUUUUGGUCAUAUGGAUAUGAAAACUGGAGACGAGGAGAAGGAGGAGAAGAGACAGAUCACAGCUGUAACUAUUAACAAAGGUAGGAACAUCUAGUAGUCAUACUGUCUAUCAUCUACUUUUAACUCUAGUUAUAACACUAACAACUGGACCUGCUGUGUUUUUCAUUUGCUUAUAGAUUUGAUUGUGUGCGGGGACGAGAAGGGCAACAUGUGGUUCAUGACCUCUCAAGAACCUUCCAAGUGGCAGAGCAGAAAACUUGUAAGAGCUCAGAAAAACAUGACUAAAAACUCCAAUCACAGCUCACACUUGUUUUAGGAACAAGUUUUUUAUUUCAUUUGCAGUUUAUUUUAAUUACAUAUAAUAAUCGCAACACACAGAAACUUUGAUUUUGAUGACAAUGCAGUUGAAUCCAGACCUUUUAUUUUCACCAAGUGUACUAUUUCUGCACAACUUUUAACUAAAGGUGUAAAAUGUAAUGGAGCUUUAAGAGCUGAAAUGAGCACCUGUCGGACAACAUCUGUAUUUAACUGAUUUUAAUAUUUAAUAUUUUUAAUCCUCAGGCCCACAGUGACAGGAUCAGUGUGCUCAGACUCACAGACAGCACCAUCAUCUCCGCCUCCUAUGACAGGACGGUGAAGCUGUGGGACAGAAACACCAAGAAACAGGUACGUUAGAGUCUUAAACUUAUGUUAGUUGUCUUUAUUUUCACAAAACAAGAUUUCUGUAAGGAUUUAGCAAACCAGAUUAAAAAAAGGGUGAAUUGUAUCUGUGAAAAACAUAGCUGGUUGUUAGUUGAGCCAACCCACUGCUGACUUUAGCUCCUUGUUUAACUUACCCUCGACUUCUCUUCUCCUCCUCCAGGUGGGGAUGUUUGUGUGUAGAGCUGCUGUUCUGCUUUUGGAGGUAAACCCUGUAAAACCCACUGUGCUGGUCUGCGGUGACAGAUGGGGGAAACUCUACUUUCUCUCCUGGAAGGAAUAAUCCAGAACAUAUUAUGCACUAUCAAAGAAAGCCUGAAAUGUUUUGCUUUUUUUGCUAGGGAUACAAGCUAUGUAAUAGCUGUUAAUUCAAGUUAACAUGUGCCUUUACUGCAGAUAUUAAGUAACUUGCAGAUGUAAUAUGCAAGUAUAAAAUACCUUGAAAAGCAUCUAUUUUGAUUUCAUGGGCUUUAUUAUUUUAUGUUAUUUUAUGUUUUAUUGUAACCGGAAGAAAAAUAUGGAUGUGGGAUAUUGAAACACUUAAAGUGGAAACAUAUCUUGCACAUUAAAAUUAUGUUUAUCAUCA